AUGGUCAUAUCAUAUUAAGACACCAGUUCUUGUACGAUCCCCAAAGUUAAGCAAUAUUGAGCCUGGUCAGUACCUAGAUUGAUGACCACUGUGGAAUAUUAGGUGCUGUAAG